GGAUUCCCGGAUUCUCCUUGCUCAUGCGUACUUCUCCUCAGCGCCGCCCGCCCAGUUCUAGGACCCGCGCGCCGCCUGGCCUCGUCCUCCUCGUUGCAGACUCUCACGCCCGGUCCCCCACCUCGUCGUGGUCAGCCACCACGCCGGUGCUCGCCCGCUCCUGGCUGACCGUCGACCGAGCCGCUCGCCCUGAUCACUGCUCCCAGUUCGUCCAUAUCUCACAUCACGUCCAACACUACGCUGCUGCUACUCCUAUCCCACACGCAUAGCACUAGCACCUGACAGAUCGAAGGGAUCCACAUUCUAGCUCUUGGAGCAUGCUGCCAUAGGCUACAGCUACGGUUAUUACAUUAUAGCCGGAAGUGCUCCAGCUCCAGGACUGAUUCAACAGUUUAAAGAAGUUUGUGGUUGGCAAAGAUGGCUAGAUGGUGUAGGAAGUGAAGUUCCAGAUCGACGCUCGCCUGGUGCUCGGUGAAUUGCCUGAACUAGAGAUCGUCGUCACUUUCACAAUUUCCGAGUCAUUUUAGUAUUGGUGGGUUGAUUUGCUGCUCCGACUUGCUGGUUUGAUGAACGAAUGGAAUGAGAUGGAUAGUCUUAGGCAUGUUUGUUUUAACUUAUAGAUUAUAUAAUCUAAAUUAUAAUCUAGAUUAUAUAAUCUGGAUUAUUUGCUCUGGAUUAAAUAAGCUAGAUGUUGCUGUUUGUUAGCUUAGAUUAUUUGGACUCGACUUAUUAUUCAUAUGUAUACAAAUAUAACAAUAUCCUUGGCCGUU
rnacentral:lncRNA from 7 species